AUGCACACGGCAGCCGCGGAAGAUGCAUAUGAGGUGCUGAACCACGGCAGCAGCGGCAACAUGCUGCAGCGUCUCAGGGUUACAUGGAGAAGGAGAUGCUGCCACCGUGCCAUGGAGAAUGGAGCAGUGGAGCUCGCCAAGGCGAUGCCCAACGCCAACAAUCAACCCGGUGCCGUGGAGAAUCAUGGCGGAGAGAUCACAAGGAGGACGCUCACGGUCUACUUCAUCAUGCUAGGAGGGACGGAGGCGUGGCGCUCGCAUGGAGGCCAUUCUGUGGAGAAUUGCAUCGUGGAGCUCGAGGGACGCCACCGACAUUCACUUCAUCAAGAUCGUGGAUGGACGGAGUUCACUAGGACGAUGCCCGUCGUUUUCUUUAUCAAGAUGGAGCCAUGGAGGAUGAUGCCCAUCAUCUUCUUCAUCAAGAUGGUGCCAUGCAGCUCGGAGGCGUGA
rnacentral:rRNA from 1 species